UUUGAACGCUGGCGGCAGGCCUAACACAUGCAAGUCGAGCGGAUGAGUGGAGCUUGCUCCAUGAUUCAGCGGCGGACGGGUGAGUAAUGCCUAGGAAUCUGCCUGGUAGUGGGGGACAACGUUUCGAAAGGAACGCUAAUACCGCAUACGUCCUACAGGAGAAAGCAGGGGACCUUCGGGCCUUGCGCUACCAGAUGAGCCUAGGUCGGAUUAGCUAGUAGGUGAGGUAAUGGCUCACCGAGGCGACGAUCCGUAACUGGUCUGAGGGGAUGAUCCGUCACACUGGAACUGAGACACGGUCCAGACUCCAACGGGAGGCAGCAGUGGGGAAUAUUGGACAAUGGGCGAAAGCCUGAUCCAGCCAUGCCGCGUGUGUGAAGAAGGUCUUCGGAUUGUAAAGCACUUUAAGUUGGGAGGAAGGGCAGUAAGUUAAUACCUUGCUGUUUUGACGUUACCAACAGAAUAAGCACCGGCUAACUUCGUGCCAGCAGCCGCCGUAAGAC
rnacentral:rRNA from 1 species